rnacentral:rRNA from 1 species
UACAGAGACUGCAAGCGUUAUUCGGAUUCACUGGGCGUACAGGGUGCGCAGGCGGCCAAGUGUGUGAGGCGUGAAAGCCCGGGGCUUAACCCCGGAAUUGCACCUCAAACUACAUGGCUAGAGCAUUGGAGAGGGUAGCAGAAUUCAUGGUGUAGCAGUGAAAUGCGUGGAUAUCAUGAGGAAUACCAGAGGCGAAGGCGGCUACCUGGACAAUUGCUGACGCUCAGGCACGAAAGCGUGGGGAGCAAAAGGG